rnacentral:rRNA from 1 species
ACGAACGCUGGCGGCGUGCUUAACACAUGCAAGUCGAACGGUAAGGCCCUUUCGGGGGUACACGAGUGGCGAACGGGUGAGUAACACGUGGGUAAUCUGCCCUGCACUUCGGGAUAAGCCUGGGAAACCGGGUCUAAUACCGGAUAUGAGCUCCUGCCGCAUGGUGGGGGUUGGAAAGUUUUUCGGUGCAGGAUGAGUCCGCGGCCUAUCAGCUUGUUGGUGGGGUAAUGGCCUACCAAGGCGAUGAUGGGUAGCCG